UGACUAGCGGAGGCUAGAAGGAG
rfam:HIV-1 CRF04_cpx clone 94CY032-3 from Cyprus, complete genome.